rnacentral:piRNA from 1 species
UCCAUUUUUCUUGUGCGCUUACAAAUUUG